UACGUAGGGGGCGAGCGUUGUUCGGAAUUACUGGGCGUAAAGGGCGUGUAGGCGGUGCGGUAAGUCGGACGUGAAAUCCCCGGGCUUAACUCGGGGGGGUCGUUCGAAACUGCCGUGCUCGAGUGUGGGAGAGGGAAGUGGAAUUCCCGGUGUAGCGGUGAAAUGCGUAGAUAUCGGGAAGAACACCGGUGGCGAAGGCGGCUUCCUGGCCCACAACUGACGCUGAGGCGCGAAAGCUAGGGGAGCAAACAGG
rnacentral:rRNA from 1 species